rnacentral:rRNA from 1 species
CGGGACGGGGUGGAGUAAUGUCUGGGAAACUGCCUGAUGGAGGGGGAUAACUACUGGAACGGUAGCUAAUACCGCAUAACGUCGCAAGACCAAAGAGGGGGACCUUAGGGCCUCUUGCCAUCGGAUGUGCCCAGAUGGGAUUAGCUAGUAGGUGGGGUAACGGCUCACCUAGGCGACGAUCCCUAGCUGGUCUGAGAGGAUGACCAGCCACACUGGAACUGAGACACGGUCCAG